GUCGAUAUGCCUGAGGGUAGCGAGGCCCUACAGAGGGAUCUGGAUAGGCUGGAAAGCUGGACUGAAGCCAAUGGGAUGAGAUUCAACAAGAUCAAAUGCCAGGUCCUGCACUUCAGCCACAAUAACCCCAGGCAAUGCUACAGGCUUGGGGCAGAGUGGCUGGAAGACUGUGUAGAGGAAAUGGACCUGGAGGUAUUGAUUGAUGCUAGACUGAACAUGAGCCAACAGUGUGCCCAGGUGGCCAAGAAGGCCAGUGGCAUCCUGGCUUGUAUCAGAAAUAGUGUUGCCAGCAGGUACAGGAAAGUAAUUGUCCCCCUGUACUCAGUACUGGUGAGGCUGCACCUUGAGUACUGUGUGCAGUUUUGGG
ensembl:lncRNA